rnacentral:lncRNA from 1 species
AUGUGGCUGCAUUUGGAAGUGAGGUGUGUAAAGAGGUUAAGUUAAAAUGAAGCCAUUAGGGUGAGCCCUAAUCCAAUAUAACUAGUUUCCUUAUAGAAAGAGGAGGUUUGGACACAAUGCCUACAGAAGACGAAUAAUAUGAAAACACAGAACAACCUACAAGCCAAGGGAAGAGGUGUGAAGCAGAGUUAGCUUCCAGAAAUGUGAGGAAAUACAUUGUUGUUUAAGCCACCCAGUCUGCGCUAUUUUGUCAUGUCAGCCUUGGAGAUUUCAAAUUUUAGUUUAAUUCAGAGAACAGGCUUUUCUCUACCAAUCCAAAUGCAGAGAAAACACACCAGGGCCUGGUACUCCUUUGAAACUCCAUUUCUGCUCUUCUUUUUUCCUAAGUAAAAUUCUACUGAUGCAUGUUGUCAUCUUUUAGGCAUCCCCCAAGUCAGCAUGUUAAUUUUUUCCGCCAGUGUUUCAUCUGAUGCUCCCCACCACUGCUAUCCUUUCUGAGCAAUUGUAAUGGCCUCUCUAGCACAUGGUUGGCAUGGCUUUCCACUUGCACUGUGGAACCUGGCAUAUUCACCACCUACAAGAAGGACUUAAAGAGUUAUCAAUUCAGGUUUAUAUCAGAUAAUAAAAUGCCUGCCAAAAUAAUGCCCCUGGAAUACUCUGAAAUCAACUGUUAAUAAAAGGCAAACAAAAAAAAAUCGUUAAUUUUUUUCCCCAUGGAGAACUUUCUUUAAAAAUCCAGCACAGUCAAAAUGAAACAGCUAUCAAAGAAAGCUCCCCCAUUAGCUGUCAGUUCACAGCAACUUCAGUCAGCUGGUGUGCCUGCGCCUGCAGUAAUAUCUCCCCAGCAUCCUCCCACACGCCCAACUUGACUGCUCUGUGCAAGCCACAUUAAACCUGUCUGCCAUCAAUCCCCGGGUCUGCUUUUCAGCAGCAGCUUAACGAGAUUUAAAUAUGAAUAGUCGACUAAAGCAAGUUCCAAUUUUGAAGGAAGGAAAGAAGGCCAAAC